CUAGGACUUUAUGUCCUCUAAAGCGCCGUUCGAGACUAGGACGUUGAUAGGUUGGAUGUGGAAGCAUAGUGAUAUGUGAAGCUGACCAAUACUAAUUGCUCGUGAGGCUUGACUAUACAACACCCAAGCAGUUG
rnacentral:rRNA from 1 species